UUGUAUAAGCGUUAUAUUCCUUAAAAGGAAAAAGGCAUCGUUAGGGGCUUGGCUAAAACAUUAUCAGAGUUUGCAACGGAAGGCGUAACUGAAAUAAUCAGUGUUUACAGCGGAAUGCAUAACUGAGAUACAUGUAUGAAGACAUGUAUCCUUUCUGAGCCUACUUUAAGUUCAACAAAAACUCCACUCAGCAACAACACUUCAUCGCCCAUCACAGCUCAACCUGCACAAACAUAAACAUACGAAGGGCUGAGUACAAGAGUACUCAGUGGGCAGUGCCAAGCAUAUAACAUAACAUCAUUAACAAUUUCACAAUAUCGCAUAAGAGGCAUGAGUUUCUUUCAAAUCCUUUGCUCAUUAAACAUUUCCAUAUUCAUAAACAGGAUGAGCGCAUUCUUCAUCAUUAACAAUCAUCAACACGCAUCGUGUCGUGGAGAAGGCCUUCCCCAACGAACACGGGCAUCGCACCGUGAAGGGGAGCCUCCCUCAGCGGUCACGGCAUCGUACUAUUGAGGGAGGCCUCCCCCAAUAGACGCUGUAACACUGGCAUACUGGCAUACUGGCAUCGCGCCGCGAGAGAGGCCUCUCUCAGCGGACACGGGCAUCGCGCCGUGAGGAAGGCCCUCCUCAGCGGACACGGCAUCGUACUGUUGAGGGAGGCCUCCCCCAACAGACGCAAGCAUCAAACAUAAGCAUAAACUUAUCAGCGUAAAGCAUUCAAGCGUAAAUAAGCGUAAUCAAGCGUAAAUCAUUUAGCGUAAAGCAUAAUAAAGCAUACCACACUUGAAGAUCCAAUUUGCAUUUUAAAGCAUAACACAUGCAUAGCAUUUUAUUUACGCGUAAGAAAUUGCCCACCUGAUAGCAAAGUUCUGCUAAGGUACUCUAACUCCUUGUGUAGUUCUUACUCUCGCGCUUGACCUUAAUAACGAGAAUAUAAAAUAAGACAUUGCCUCGAGGAAAAUUCUUAAUUAAUGAGAAAGCGUAAUUUAACUAUGCAUGAAUCCGGUAUGCAUGAUCUAAUACUCUGAGCGAUAAUCGGGAAUUCUACUAUUAAUCCUCGUUAAUAGAUUUAGCUAAUUCUCGUCUAGCGCGGUCGAAUAAAGCUGUGAUUCUUCCUUUCCCAUCGGAAUAUUCUAAUUGUAAAAUAGAUCUCGCAUUUGUACUCG
rnacentral:lncRNA from 1 species